UAGCAUAUGCAGUUAGAUUAAAAUAUACUUUGUGCAUGAUAUUUGUAUAUAUACUAUUUAUUCCAUAUUGGAUUUUAGUAGUGAUUAUACAAUAGACAUGCACAAUUUAUAUAUAGCGAUAUAAGCAUAAAAAGACUUGAAGACCAUUUCGUUUAAACAAUUUAUUCAUAAUAAUCUGUUAACAUGGAUAUAAAAAGGAUUGGAGAAUUACUCCGUUAAUAUUGCUGAUUAAAUGGAUUGGGGUUCAAAUAAUAAUAAUCAUAACUGCUUUUAUUAUGAUUAUCUUGUAAUAUCUUAAUCAGUUAACUAAUUUGUUGCUUAGAAAACAAUUUAUAAAUCAUCGUGGAAUAGAACACAAAGAUGAGUUACUAUAUUAUAAAAAAAGAGAGGGGAUAUAUAAUAGUACUAUAAUGUUAUUUGGGAUCUGUAUUGCUUAACCUUAUUGAUUGUAUUAAAACCGAAAUGCUAAAAUGUUGAUGAAUAACUCAGACUGACAAUGUAUCGAUUAUAGUAUAAUUAUGAACUAGAAUUGAUAAAUCGAAAAUGUUAC